GGAUAUAGCUCAGUUGGUAGAGUGCUUGCCUUGCAUGCACAAAGCCCUGGGUUUGAGCCCCAGCACCA
rnacentral:tRNA from 1 species